GUUUGACUUCACCUUAUAUAGGGGAAAAUGCCUCUGCAGCUUUGGUGUUGGCCAGUACUCAACAGAAAACAGCUUCUUUUCUUUUGCACCCAGAACUUCAUAACACUACCAAGAUUCAAUUCCUUGUUUAAUGUUUCUACUAUUUGCAUCAUCAUUUCUGCCAAGAGCUUCACUCAUUGCCCAGGCUGUACCAUGGCCAUUAUUCCCAAGGCAAGCAGAACAAGAACACUGAUCUUACCACAAAACCUUUCCAAUGUGGAUGUAGAAAAAUGGACAGUGACGUCCAAGGAAGCACAAUGAUGCUGAUCAGCAUGCCAGGCAAUCAAACCCCAGUCAUUUGUGCCUUGUGAGGUACAGGCUUCUUUGUGAAGCUUUUUACAGAGCUCUCUGCAGAACAGCGCAGCUGCUGUGAAGAUUUUUAUGAGGACCUUUACGCAAGUACAGGGGAAGGCAAGCAAAGAAUUAAUGCACUCAGCAGAAAAGUGAUGUGAGCACUGUAAUAGGCUGGAGUUGGCAUCUUACUGAGGAAGUCACUGACACAGAGCAGUUACAGGCACUGAAGGGCCCUCAGAAACAAAAUCAAGUAACUUCGGCUUCACUCAAUAGAGAAGGGGCAGACAGAAAAGAUGCAGAGUUUUAACUAUUUUUAAUCAAUAUAAAAUAACCUGUGUAAAAACAGUCGAAGCUAUGCUGCAAUUAACUUUUUUCAAUAUGCACAAGAUAGCUACAGAGCCAUCUGACAGUUCUUGGAUGAAGGCUUGUGGAACUAACAACAGCAUCAGAUUCUCAACACACAAAGGGGACACAAUUGAGCCAGUACACACCUCCAACCCCUCCAGUCAAGAUCAAGGUCAACACAAACUGUGGUGGAAGAGUGCCUCCACCCACCCACCCACUCACACACACUUUCCCACUUGAAAAGUAACAGGAGCACACACCACUGCAUCACUCCAGCACAGCUGUGUCAGAAACAGCCACUUACAAGCUUACUUAUCAAGUUUCUAUGCCAGGGGAGUACAUAGCACACAAUAAGGCAAACCACUGAAAUUUAAAACAAUUUAUAAAGUACUGUUAUUUAAUUCCUGUUCUCUACAACCUCCAUAUUCUUUCAAAAAUGUGUAAAAAUAAGAUGAGGAGAUGAGAUUUCUGAGAAGUUCACAAUGGACAGUUCUGGAAACAAACUUUACCUGGGAUCUGUAGAGCAGUGCAAAUGCCAGCACAACAGUUGGAUUUGACACCAGUUUUCCAUUUAAAAAAAAGCAAUUACAGAUACCGUAAGCUACAUCAAAAUAGCUGCAGUUCACAUUGCAUGACUGACCUGAUUUGCUGUUUUCUUUCAUGACUUGUAAAAUAUCAGUAGAAACAGCACAAAGACUUUUUCUUAAUAAAUUUUAAUAUUAAGACCAGUUUGUCUGGAUAAAAACACAGUUACAAGUACCACACUACUGCAAAUUCUGCAUGAUGCACAGUAGUGCUCACAACAUUUGCGUGGCAAGACCAUUUUGGAACGGUUUGUGAAAGGUAUGUCAAAAACAGAAUCUUGGCAUAAGUAAUAAUGUAUGUUACCAGUGAAUUUAUUAUUGUGAAAAUAUAUCUGUCCCACAAUGUACACCACUGUAAAUAAUCAAAUGCAAUAUUUAUGCGCAUCAAAAAUAUAUGGGGUGAAUAUAUACUCAGUUCAGCAUUAAAUCAGCAA